rnacentral:tRNA from 1 species
GGAAAGGUGGCCGAGUGGUUGAAGGCUCUGGUCUUGAAAACCAGCGUGGGGCAACCCACCGUGGGUUCGAAUCCCACCCUUUCCG